rnacentral:lncRNA from 1 species
AACAUAUGGACCUUCAUAGUUUGGGGUUCACUUGCCCCUGGAAUCGGGCGCGAAAGACAAGACUUUCUUGAGCACAAGGUCAUCUUCUCGAAACACACGAGGCUUGACCUUCUUAUCGAAUGCUUUCUUCAUUCUCUGCUGAUAUAACUGACCAGGAUACAUGGCAGUCAAUCUCUUCUUUCGAUCAGAUUCAGUUGGUCGUAACGACUCUGAAUCCAUUCAGCAUCAGCCAACUUGGGACUUUGAGGGUGCUAUUUUCUUUUGUUUCUUUCUUUCUUUCUU